AUUGAACGCUGGCGGCAUGCUUUACGCAUGCAAGUCGAACGGUAACAGGCCUUCGGGUGCUGACGAGUGGCGAACGGGUGAGUAAUGCAUCGGAACGUGCCCAGAGGUGGGGGAUAACGCAGCGAAAGCUGUGCUAAUACCGCAUGUGAUCUGAGGAUGAAAGCGGGGGACCAAGCAGCAAUGUUUGGCCUCGCGCCUCUGGAGCGGCCGAUGUCAGAUUAGGUAGUUGGUGGGGUAAAGGCCUACCAAGCCGACGAUCUGUAGCUGGUCUGAGAGGACGACCAGCCACACUGGGACUGAGACACGGCCCAGACUCCUACGGGAGGCAGCAGUGGGGAAUUUUGGACAAUGGGCGCAAGCCUGAUCCAGCAAUGCCGCGUGCGGGAAGAAGGCCUUCGGGUUGUAAACCGCUUUUGUACGGAACGAAAAGGCUCUGGCUAAUACCUGGGGCUGAUGACGGUACCGUAAGAAUAAGCACCGGCUAACUACGUG
rnacentral:rRNA from 1 species